CGCCUAUAUGUUAUAUCGUGCGUACCGCAUCACGACACGGCCGCACAGAGUAUCCUUUUAAGUCGAAACCGCUUUAUAACCACUUGUAGGAAUACGUACUGUGGGCAUGGUGAUGCGUGUACGUGUACGCGCGACGUUUAUAUAAAUAUAAAUAUCCGCGCGUAGAUAAUAAAAAGUCCAUUAACACAAAUAUUUUGAUAACCACCUGUCAGGUAGGCGCGCACG